UGCGAGGUAGAGCAGCUGGUAGCUCGCGGGGCUCAUAACCCCGAGGCCGCAGGUUCGAGUCCUGCCCUCGCUA
rnacentral:tRNA from 1 species